UACAGAGGGGGCAAGCGUUAUUCGGAAUUAUUGGGCGUAAAGGGCGCGUAGGCGGCCUGGCAAGUGGAAGGUGAAAUCCCUCGGCUUAACCGAGGAACUGCCCUCCAAACUGCUUGGCUUGAGUCCGGGAGAGGUGAGUGGAAUUCCUGGUGUAGCGGUGAAAUGCGCAGAUAUCAGGAAGAACACCAAUGGCGAAGGCAGCUCUCUGGGACGGUACUGACACUGAGACGCGAAAGCGUGGGGAGCGAACGGG
rnacentral:rRNA from 1 species